AUUGUUGCUGAUUAUGGAGCACCUAGUCCCGUGAACAACGAAAAAUAUCAUGCUGUCAAUGCUAGUAUUGAAAAGUAAGCACAUUUACUAAUUAUCGCUGUUAUAAUUUACCUAUACGAGAUGUAUAAUAGUAUUGAAAUAAACAAAUGUUAUUUGUAUCAAUUUAGAUGUGUUUCAACAAUUAUUUGUAUGCCAUUUUAUAAUUUUAGAUGUCUUUUAGUAACGUCGUUUCUGUUAUAUUAUAUUGAGAUAAAGUACAUAGUGUGUGUAGUCAUGAGCUCCAAGAAGUUGUUGCUGAUUGUGGAGCAACUAACCCCGUGAGCAACGAAGAACACCAUGUUGUCAAUGAAUCGAGUGUAAAGUAAAUACAUGUAUCAAUUAUUGUUGUUUCAAUCUAGGGAUACAAUAUGUACACUAGUAUUUAAGCUGUUGUAAUGUGAAUUUCUUUGGAUUGACUAUCCAUCUUUUAUUUGGGGAGUACAUGACAUCAAAGUGUUUAGAUAUGGUUGUGUAUUUCGGACACCACGAAAGUGUAAAUAAUAUGGAAAGCGGCGAGGUUGAUCAUGGAAUACCCCAAGAUGAUGCUGAAGAGUGCAAUAGGCUUUUCUCGAAACCCACAUCUGUCAAUAACACUCCACCAACGCCUGAUCCAGUUAUAAUCUCACCGGAUUUUGAUGAAGAUGCAAAAGAAAAGGUGUACAGAUGGAUAAUAGAUGGCAUAAAUCUGUUGGAUGAAGUUAUCAUGUGGUACCGGACACAUUAUACGUUGGACCUAGCACGAAGAGAUCUGAAAAUAUUAAAAAGAAGGGAGUGGGUCGACGGUCGGGUGAUAGAGUGCAUGUGUGCCAUCUUUAAUGAGCUCCCAGCCAAGAGGUUUCAAGAAGAAUUCUACUGCAUUAACCCAAUGAUAUUGGGGCGUGUUAUGGCACCUAUAAAUGUUGAAAAAUUUGAGGACAAAUACAACUCAGAGUAUGUGGGAUUAGCAUAAUAUUGGGAGAACGAGAUCCAUCUGUUCAACAAAGUAGAAGCAGCCAAGAGACAUAUGUUCUUUGUACUGAUCUGCCUGGGUAAUCACUGGUGAUUGUAUGCUUUUCAUCGAAAAAGUACGACAUUCUUUGCUCUUGACUCUCUAUUUAGAUCCCCUCUUACUGAUCAUAGGAUGAAAGUUGAUGAAUAUGCGGCCAAGCUUAUUAACGAGUUGGCCCAACUCACUUUUUCAUAGUACAAAGUCCAGGACGAGGGCAUAGGAAAGUCCCUUUAUGUGGAUGUUCCGAUUUAACCAAACAGAUAUGGUUCAAUGUGAUUUCUUAUUUUAUUGGCUAUCAACACCAAAUUAAAUUGAAGCAUAUUUGCUUUUCUCUUGAUUGCUAGUUAUGACUGCAGAGUUUUUGUCAUUAAAUUCAUGGACUCAUGGAAUUCAGAAACUCUUGACAUGGAUGAUUAUGUUGUGCCAGUUUGGACAACGAAAGACAUAGCUAUAACGAGGAGGAAGUACUUACUAGACAUCGUGCUUGAUCCGUAGAAUGAUUAUUUGAAUACCAUAGAGGCUAUUGCCCAUGCCCCUUUACGUCGUGCGCCUCAAAGGAAUAAAAGAAAAGAGUUGAGAGAUUCGUGGAUUGCGCUAAACACUGCUGAGCUGGCAAGAAGAGAAGAAGAGGCAGCAUGCAGGAGGGCCAAUAGGAGAAAUAGGAAAACAUAGCACUGUGCAAAUAUAAUUAGCUAUUAUAAUGGACAUAUUUUGCUCAUUAGUUUAGGAUAUCAUCUCUUUAUUUUUCAUGUUGUUAGGAGACUCAAUUAGCCUUAGUUAUUUUGCUAUGUUUUUCUUUUUUGUUAAUUUUUCAUGCUUUGUGGAUAAAUAACACUUGGUUAUAACAUGUAGAA